rnacentral:rRNA from 1 species
UACGUAGGGUGCGAGCGUUGUCCGGAAUUAUUGGGCGUAAAGAGCUCGUAGGCGGUGUGUCACGUCGGCCGUGAAAACCUGCAGCUUAACUGUAGGCGUGCGGUCGAUACGGGCAUCACUGGAGUUCGGCAGGGGAGACUGGAAUUCCUGGUGUAGCGGUGAAAUGCGCAGAUAUCCGGAGGAACACCGGUGGCGAAGGCGGCUUCCUGGACCGACACUGACGCUGAGGCGCGAAAGCUAGGGGAGCAAACGGG